UUAGCCCUAAACCCAGAUAAUUUUUAAACAAAAUUAUUCGCCAGAGUACUACUAGCAAUAGCCUGAAACUCAAAGGACUUGGCGGUGCUUCAUAUCCCUCUAGAGGAGCCUGUCCUAUAAACGAUAAACCCCGAUAGACCUUACCAACCCUAGCUAAUACAGCCUAUAUACCGCCAUCCUCAGCAAACCCUGAUAAAGGAAAUAUAGUAAGCAAGAUUGUUAAAAUACNAAAACGUUAGGUCAAGGUGUAGCUUAUGAGUUGGAAAGAGAUGGGCUACAUUUUCUCAAAACAGNAAAAAAAACGAACAUUCUUAUGAU
rnacentral:rRNA from 1 species